rnacentral:rRNA from 1 species
UUAAGUUAUUAAGGGCGCACGGUGGAUGCCUUGGCACUAGAAGCCGAUGAAGGACGUUACUAACGACGAUAUGCUUUGGGGAGCUGUAAGUAAGCGUUGAUCCAGAGAUUUCCGAAUGGGGAAACCCAGCAUGAGUUAUGUCAUGUUAUCGAUAUGUGAAUACAUAGCAUAUCAGAAGGCAGACCCGGAGAACUGAAACAUCUUAGUACCCGGAGGAAGAGAAAGAAAAAUCGAUUCCCUGAGUAGCGGCGAGCGAAACGGGAAGAGCCCAAACCAACAAGCUUGCUUGUUGGGGUUGUAGGACACUCUAUACGGAGUUACAAAAGUAUAUAUUAGACGAAUCAUCUGGAAAGUUGAAUCAAAGAAGGUAAUAAUCCUGUAGUCGAAAAUAUAUACUCUCUUGAGUGGAUCCUGAGUACGACGGAGCACGUGAAAUUCCGUCGGAAUCUGGGAGGACCAUCUCCUAAGGCUAAAUACUCUCUAGUGACCGAUAGUGAACCAGUACCGUGAGGGAAAGGUGAAAAGUACCCCGGAAGGGGAGUGAAAGAGAACUUGAAACCGUGUGCUUACAAGUAGUCAGAGCCCGUUAAUGGGUGAUGGCGUGCCUUUUGUAGAAUGAACCGGCGAGUUACGAUUUGAUGCGAGGUUAAGCAGCUAAUGUGGAGCCGUAGCGAAAGCGAGUCUGAAUAGGGCGUUUAGUAUUUGGUCGUAGACCCGAAACCAGGUGAUCUACCCUUGGUCAGGUUGAAGUUCAGGUAACACUGAAUGGAGGACCGAACCGACUUACGUUGAAAAGUGAGCGGAUGAACUGAGGGUAGCGGAGAAAUUCCAAUCGAACUUGGAGAUAGCUGGUUCUCUCCGAAAUAGCUUUAGGGCUAGCCUCAAGUGAUGAUUAUUGGAGGUAGAGCACUGUUUGGACGAGGGGCCCUUCUCGGGUUACCGAAUUCAGACAAACUCCGAAUGCCAAUCAAUUUAACUUGGGAGUCAGAACAUGGGUGAUAAGGUCCGUGUUCGAAAGGGAAACAGCCCAGACCACCAGCUAAGGUCCCAAAAUAUAUGUUAAGUGGAAAAGGAUGUGGCGUUGCCCAGACAACUAGGAUGUUGGCUUAGAAGCAGCCAUCAUUUAAAGAGUGCGUAAUAGCUCACUAGUCGAGUGACACUGCGCCGAAAAUGUACCGGGGCUAAACAUAUUACCGAAGCUGUGGAUUGUCCGUAGGACAAUGGUAGGAGAGCGUUCUAAGGGCGUCGAAGCAUGAUCGCAAGGACAUGUGGAGCGCUUAGAAGUGAGAAUGCCGGUGUGAGUAGCGAAAGACGGGUGAGAAUCCCGUCCACCGAUUGACUAAGGUUUCCAGAGGAAGGCUCGUCCGCUCUGGGUUAGUCGGGUCCUAAGCUGAGGCCGACAGGCGUAGGCGAUGGAUAACAGGUUGAUAUUCCUGUACCACCUAGUAUCGUUUUAAUCGAUGGGGGGACGCAGUAGGAUAGGCGAAGCGUGCUAUUGGAUUGCACGUCCAAGCAGUAAGACUGAGUGUUAGGCAAAUCCGGCACUCAUAAGGUCAAGCUGUGAUGGGGAGAGGAAAUUGUUUCCUCGAGUCGUUGAUUUCACACUGCCAAGAAAAGCCUCUAGAUAGAUAACAGGUGCCCGUACCGCAAACCGACACAGGUAGUCAAGAUGAGAAUUCUAAGGUGAGCGAGCGAACUCUCGUUAAGGAACUCGGCAAAAUGACCCCGUAACUUCGGGAGAAGGGGUGCUCUUUAGGGUUAACGCCCAGAAGAGCCGCAGUGAAUAGGCCCAAGCGACUGUUUAUCAAAAACACAGGUCUCUGCUAAACCGUAAGGUGAUGUAUAGGGGCUGACGCCUGCCCGGUGCUGGAAGGUUAAGAGGAGUAGUUAGCUUCUGCGAAGCUACGAAUCGAAGCCCCAGUAAACGGCGGCCGUAACUAUAACGGUCCUAAGGUAGCGAAAUUCCUUGUCGGGUAAGUUCCGACCCGCACGAAAGGCGUAACGAUUUGGGCACUGUCUCAACGAGAGACUCGGUGAAAUCAUAGUACCUGUGAAGAUGCAGGUUACCCGCGACAGGACGGAAAGACCCCGUGGAGCUUUACUGUAGCCUGAUAUUGAAAUUCGGCACAGCUUGUACAGGAUAGGUAGGAGCCUUUGAAACGUGAGCGCUAGCUUACGUGGAGGCAUUGGUGGGAUACUACCCUAGCUGUGUUGACUUUCUAACCCGCACCACUUAUCGUGGUGGGAGACAGUGUCAGGUGGGCAGUUUGACUGGGGCGGUCGCCUCCUAAAAGGUAACGGAGGCGCUCAAAGGUUCCCUCAGAAUGGUUGGAAAUCAUUCAUAGAGUGUAAAGGCAUAAGGGAGCUUGACUGCGAGACUUACAAGUCGAGCAGGGUCGAAAGACGGACUUAGUGAUCCGGUGGUUCCGCAUGGAAGGGCCAUCGCUCAACGGAUAAAAGCUACCCCGGGGAUAACAGGCUUAUCUCCCCCAAGAGUUCACAUCGACGGGGAGGUUUGGCACCUCGAUGUCGGCUCAUCGCAUCCUGGGGCUGUAGUCGGUCCCAAGGGUUGGGCUGUUCGCCCAUUAAAGCGGUACGCGAGCUGGGUUCAGAACGUCGUGAGACAGUUCGGUCCCUAUCCGUCGUGGGCGUAGGAAAUUUGAGAGGAGCUGUCCUUAGUACGAGAGGACCGGGAUGGACAUACCUCUGGUGUACCAGUUGUCGUGCCAACGGCAUAGCUGGGUAGCUAUGUAUGGACGGGAUAAGUGCUGAAAGCAUCUAAGCAUGAAGCCCCCCUCAAGAUGAGAUUUCCCAACUUCGGUUAUAAGAUCCCUCAAAGAUGAUGAGGUUAAUAGGUUCGAGGUGGAAGCGUGGUGACACGUGGAGCUGACGAAUACUAAUCGAUCGAAGACUUAAUC